AAAGGCAGCCCUCCCCACGAUUCUCCCCGGCCAACCUCCCGCCGCCGCCUACUUGGCUCCGGCGCGCCUCCCCCGCUGCUCCACGGGUCCGGCGUGCUUCCCGCCUCCACCUAACUCCGGCCACCUACCGCCGUCGCGCUGCCGCGCGGGAUCGUGCCGUUGGGCGACAUCUUGCCGUCGCCGCUCGAGAUUCCGUCGCCGUUGGGCGACAUCUUGCCGCCGCCGCGCGAGGCCCGUCCGCCGCCGCAUCACCACCGCACUCCGCAGGACCGGCCACCCUCUCCCAUGUCGCUCAGUUCAACCUCGCUGGCCAACGCGGUCCACCACGUCGCCUGGAUUCCAAUCCAACCCGCCAUCCUGCUCGACCAAGUUCCUCCACCUGUCUCGGCUACUACCUGGACCACCACCUGCCCGGUCAUUGUGGCAUGUGGCUGCCCAGCACAUCGACGCCUGCAAGACAUAUUUGCAGGUGCAAAAAAGUUGGAUGUAGUGAUAUGUUCGUUCAGUUUCACAGGUCCUUCAAUAUAUGCAAAAAAGAGUUUUCUCCAAAAUGCAUCAACGCCGUGAAGUGCUAAUUCUUCUUGUGUGCUUCUGUAAAGCCUUGUGUUUCAGUCACCUCCAUGACGAACCAGCUCGUCCUAUUUUGCAGAAGCAAGUCGCACGAUAGUUUUUAGGCGGAAUGAAGUCCAGAGGAAGUUGCUAGCGGUGGUAGAACUUGGGAUUUGGGCACACAAGGAAGAAGACGAAAAAAGAAAAAUGGUGAGUUGGAGAUUGCAUGUUCGUUGCACCGAAGGAUAAUAUCAUUUAGGUUUUAGCUAGAUAACACCUAGUGGGGUAAAAAAAGCAUCGCUUUGUCCAAAAUCCGCUGGUCAACUUUUUGCUCUGUUUAAUGGUUUGGUUCACACACUAAAUUCUUGAUUGUUUCUUUAUGUAUGAGCAUCAGACUUGAUUUAAUUGUGACGUGGUUCACUGACAGUAAUUUUAUCAGUUCAAUAAUAUAUGUACAAGUUGACCUCCUAGCGAUAUAUAUGCAUAGGAAUUUUGUUCUCGGCUUUGUUUAUUGGUGCAUGCGAGAUGUUUUUCAUGUUAUGGACUACCGAAGUAGUUCAAAAAUCACUCACCACGAAGAGAACGGAUGAGCAACGCACAGGCCGUUCAACUUCGCCGCCUCAGGCCGUGCUACUCCGCCCAAAAAAGUUUGCCUACAAACUGUUCCGCCCAAGUGCUAUGCAGCCGGGCCGAGGGAGCAGUGCCAAGCUGCAGCCUUGAUGCUGUUGACAGCCACGUGCUCCAUCACGGGCGGUUCAAAAAUACUAAUGCUAGUCGGCCGUAUAGGUUCAGUAGUGGUAUAAUGCUUUUGGUCUUGAUGUUUGGCCGUACUUGAGGUUCCAUGCUUGAGGUUCAGCUUGGUACAGUAUAUGGGAGCAGUUUGGAUUUGGUAUUUUUCUACAAUUUGGCACCAUGUUAUAUGUAUUUUAAACUGCACAAAGUAUAUAACACUUAA